AUUGAACGCUGGCGGCAUGCUUUACACAUGCAAGUCGAACGGCAGCGGGGAGGAGCUUGCUUCUCUGCCGGCGAGUGGCGAACGGGUGAGUAAUACAUCGGAACGUGUCGAGAAGAGGGGGAUAACCACCCGAAAGGGUGGCUAAUACCGCAUAAAUUCUGAGGAAGAAAGCUGGGGACCUAGGAAUAGGCCUAGCGCUUUUUGAGCGGCCGAUGUCGGAUUAGCUAGUUGGUGAGGUAAAGGCUCACCAAGGCGAAGAUCUGUAGCGGGUCUGAGAGGAUGAUCCGCCACACUGGGACUGAGACACGGCCCAGACUCCUACGGGAGGCAGCAGUGGGGAAUUUUGGACAAUGGGGGAAACCCUGAUCCAGCAAUGCCGCGUGUAUGAAGAAGGCCUUAGGGUUGUAAAGUACUUUUGUUAGGGAAGAAAAGUCAGCUGUGAAUAAUGGCUGAUACUGACGGUACCUAAAGAAUAAGCACCGGCUAACUACGUG
rnacentral:rRNA from 1 species